GACGAACGCUGGCGGCGUGCUUAACACAUGCAAGUCGAGCGGUAAGGCCCUUUCGGGGGUACGACGAGCGGCGAACGGGUGAGUAACACGUGGGUGACCUGCCCUCAGCUCUGGGAUAAGCCUGGGAAACUGGGUCUAAUACUGGAUAUGACUCCACGGUGCAUGUCGUGGGGUGGAAAGCCUUGUGCGGCUGAGGAUGGGCCCGCGGCCUAUCAGCUUGUUGGUGGGGUGAUGGCCUACCAAGGCGACGACGGGUAGCCGGCCUGAGAGGGCGACCGGCCACACUGGGACUGAGACACGGCCCAGACUCCUACGGGAGGGCAGCAGUGGGGAAUCUUGCGCAAUGGGCGAAAGCCUGACGCAGCGACGCCGCGUGAGGGAUGACGGCCU
rnacentral:rRNA from 1 species